UACGUAGGGUGCGAGCGUUAAUCGGAAUUACUGGGCGUAAAGCGUGCGCAGGCGGUUUGGCAAGUCUGAUGUGAAAGCCCCGGGCUUAACCUGGGAACGGCAUUGGAGACCGCCCGGCUAGAGUGCGUCAGAGGGGGGUAGAAUUCCACGUGUAGCAGUGAAAUGCGUAGAGAUGUGGAGGAAUACCGAUGGCGAAGGCAGCCCCCUGGGAUGACACUGACGCUCAUGCACGAAAGCGUGGGGAGCAAACAGG
rnacentral:rRNA from 1 species